rnacentral:rRNA from 1 species
AUGUUACCUAAAAAACAUCUAUCUGGCUGUGAGAAAAGAAACAACAAGAAAAGAGUAGACACGUUGAUUAAAUCUCAGGAAGGCGCUAUGGAUAUGUUUGUCUUGAGGACUGGUGCUGCUACAAAUUCAGAGCAAUUAUAUAUCACAAAUGGUGAAGAAAAACCUGAUGAUACUAAGAAUGCCAGUGAGGAAAAUCAUGUCGAGAAAAAUAAUGCUGCGGAAAAUGAUGCCGAUCAGCACACGGAAAAUUUUAGUGACCAUGAGAAUCUUGGAAAUGCAGAUGAGCAGGGUUCUUCUUUUGAUAUAUAUGAUCCUAGAACUUGGAAUAUUCUUGACAAUAAAUCAAGAGAUAUUCUCAUUGAAAAAGGACCUAUAAGGGAAUACAAUCUUGUGUUUCCCGAAGAUGAAAUUAGUGGCAGGCAUUUUUCAUAUGAUUACUACACAAGAAAGUUAAGGAAUGGCGAGUUCAGUGAUCGGAGGUGGUUAGUGUACUCUAAACACAUGAAUAAAGUCUACUGUUUUUGUUGCAAAUUGUUUAAAUCUGGAAAAAGCAAAAGUCUGCUAGCAUCCGAGGGAUUGAAGGAUUGGAGACAUCUUAGUGAGAAGCUCAAAUUGCAUGAGAAUAGUGUUGAGCAUAUCACUAACAUGAAUACUUGGAAUGAGGUAAGGCUGAGGCUAAGUAAGAAGGAAACAAUUGAUAAAGACAUGCAACAAGAGAUUGCAAGGGAGAAGGAGCGAUGGAGACUUGUUUUAAUUAGAAUUGUUGCUGCUGUGAAAUUUCUUGCUAAACAUAGUCUGGCUUUUCGAGGAUCGAAUGAGAAAUUAUAUCAAGAUAACAACGGAAUUUUUUUGGGAGUAAUUGAAAUGAUGGCAGAAUUUGAUCCUGUAAUGCAAGAGCAUCUUCGGCGCAUUAAGAAUAGUGAAAUCGAUCAUCAUUAUCUUGGCCAUAAUAUUCAGAAUGAGUUAAUUUCCCUUCUUGGUCGCACUGUUAAAUAUUCUCUGUUGAGGAUAAUUAAGGAUGCAAGGUAUUUCUCUGUCAUCUUGGACUGUACACCUGACGUGAGCCAUCAAGAACAAAUGACUCUAAUUGUGAGGUGCGUAAACAUGUCAAGUACUACUACAAAAAUAGAGGAGUUUUUUCUGGAGUUCUUGAAGGUGGAUGAUACAUCCGGACUUGGACUUUAUAAUGUGUUAAUAGAUUCACUUAAAUCUGUUGGUUUGGAUGUUAAAGAUGUUCGUGGACAAGGGUAUGACAAUGGUUCGAACAUGAAGGGAAAACACCAAGGGGUACAGAGCAGACUACUUGAAACUAAUCCAAGAGCAUUAUUCAUGCCAUGCGCUUGUCAUAGCCUGAACCUUACUCUUAGUGAUAUGGCAAAAUCUUGCGGUAAAGCUGUUACCUUCUUUGGUGUUGUGCAAAGAAUUUAUAUAUUGUUUUCAAGCUCUACUAAAAGAUGGCAGCUAUUGCUUGAUCAUGUUCCAAAAAUGACAGUUAAGUCUUUGUGUAACACUCGAUGGGAGAGUCGAAUAAAGAGUGUUCAGGCUAUCAGAUAUCAAGCACCCGAGUUAAGAAAAGCAUUACUGGAAUUGAAGAGAACUUCUACCGAUGACGCCAAGACUAAGAAUUGA